GAUCAUUCAACCAAAUAUACAUACACAAAUCGAUCUGUAAAUUGAUUUGUGAGAGAAAAAAAGGGAAUAAUUACUUUUGAGAAAAGUCAGUGGACUGAUUUUUGAGAAGGUGAACUGGUUGAAGGAUCAGAUUUGUGUUGGCUUAUUUCAUGACGUGGUUGGGUUAUUUCGACAGCAGACUUGUGGGGAUGGAGUUCUCUUCCCUGUGGUUCUUUCUCCAAACCUUACACUUGCUAAAACUGUUAAGUUAACCGAAGCCAUCAAAGUAAACAGAUCAUGGUUGGAUUCGCUACUCCCUCGAUCUGGUGCAGUUCUCUUCAGAGGAUUUGACGUUUUUUCUGCUUCUGACUUCAACGAAGUAGUUGAGUCAUCAGGGUAUGAGGACUUUAGCUAUAGCGUCUGUGGUGCAGGCUCCAGAACUAAAGAUGUUGGUCGUGUUUACAUAUGAAUAUAAUAUAUCGAUAUAUAGACCCAUCGAUUAACCAGAUCUGAUGUGGAGAUAAUGAAGAUGAUGAUGAUUGAGAUUGAAUUUAAAAUCACGAGCUAAAGCGAGUAGCACCAACAAGGAGGGUGGGGUGUAUGCGUUUUCCGGCCAGUAGCAACAACAAAGAGGGUGGGGGCGCCAGCGAGUUUGCGUAGCAACAAUCAGUUAAUGUGUCACUAGAUUUAGAGUUUGUGUAUGUAUAUUUGGUUAGCAACAAUCAAUUUACAGAUCGGUUUGUGUAUGUAUAUUUGGUUGAAUGAUCCAGAUUACGAGA